rnacentral:tRNA from 1 species
CUAUUUUGACAGAAUAAUGUGUUAAAUUUAGGAUUUAUUAAUGUAAGGUGUUUACAAAUAGAAA